rnacentral:tRNA from 1 species
GCCUGGGUGGCUCAGUCGGUUAAGUGUUCGACUUCGGCUCCAGUCAUGAUGUCGCAGUUCGUGAGUUUGACCCUCACUUCAGGCU